AGUGAACGCUGGCGGUAGGCCUAACACAUGCAAGUCGAACGGCAGCACAGUAAGAGCUUGCUCUUACGGGUGGCGAGUGGCGGACGGGUGAGGUAUACAUCGGAAUCUACUUUUUCGUGGGGGAUAACGUAGGGAAACUUACGCUAAUACCGCAUACGACCUACGGGUGAAAGCAGGGGAUCUUCGGACUUUGCGCGAUUGAAUGAGCCGAUGUCGGAUUAGCUAGUUGGCGGGGUAAAGGCCCACCAAGGCGACGAUCCGUAGCUGGUCUGACAGGAUGAUCAGCCACACUGGAACUGAGACACGGUCCAGACUCCUACGGGAGGCAGCAGUGGGGAAUAUUGGGCAAUGGGCGCAAGCCUGAUCCAGCCAUACCGCGUGGGUGAAGAAGGCCUUCGGGUUGUAAAGCCCUUUUGUUGGGAAAGAAAAGCAGCAGGUUAAUACCCCGCUGUUCUGACGGUACCCAAAGAAUAAGCACCGGCUAACUUCGUG
rnacentral:rRNA from 1 species